rnacentral:rRNA from 1 species
AUGGCUUAUGGUCCAAACAGUUUACUGCCAUGGGAUGGGACUGCGGCCUAUCAGCUUGUUGGUGAGGUAAUGGCCCACCAAGGCGAUUACAGGUACGGGCUCUGAGAGGAGAAGCCCGGAGAUGGGUACUGAGACACGGACCCAGGCCCUAUGGGGCGCAGCAGGCGAGAAACCUUAGCAAUGUGCGAAAGCACGACUGGGUCAGUCCGAGUGAUUCCUGAUAAAGGAGUCUUUUGCUUGUCCUAAAAGCACAGGUGAAUAAGGGGUGGGCAAGUCUGGUGUCAGCCGCCGCGGUAAUACCAGCACCUCGAGUGGUCAGGACGUUUAUUGGGCCUAAAGCAUCCGUAGCCGGCUUUGCAAGUCUUCGGUUAAAUCCACCUGCUCAACAGAUGGGCCGCUGGAGAUACUACAGAGCUAGGGAGUGGGAGAGGCAGACGGUAUUCAGUGGGUAGGGGUAAAAUCCUCUGAUCCAUUGAGGACCACCAGUGGCGAAGGCGGUCUGCCAGAACACGUUCGACGGUGAGGGAUGAAAGCUGGGGGAGCAAACCGGAUUAGAUACCCGGGUAGUCCCAGCUGUAAACGAUGCAAACUCGGUGAUGCAUUGGCUUAUGGCCAAUGCAGUGCCGCAGGGAAGCCGUUA